CGCGGUAAUUUGACCGUGCGAAGGUAGCAUAGUCAGUAGUCUUUUAAUUGGAGGCUUGAAUGAAUGGUUGGACGAGGGAUAAACUGUCUCCUUAGCGGCGUUUGAAUUUAACUUUUGAGUGAAAAGGCUCAAAUUGUUUAGGGGGACGAUAAGACCCUAUAAAACUUAAUAUAAUUUAGGCUUAACUUGCGAUGUGGGUGAAAAGUAGUUUUGUCUGGUUUAUAUUUCGUUGGGGAGAUGAAGAUAUAAUGAGUAACUGUCUAUAAAAUUUUAUAGCAUUGACUAGAAUUUGAUCCUUCCUUGGGGAUUAGGAGAAUAAGUUACUUUAGGGAUAACAGCGUGAUUUUCUUUGAGAGUUCUUAUCGACAAGAGUAGUUGCGACCUCGAUGUUGAAUUAAAAUUUCAGCUAGGUGUAGCCG
rnacentral:rRNA from 1 species